GCUGCGGUGGGUGACUAACAUAGACGGAGAGUGGUUAAGGCGUUGGACUUGAAAUCCAAUGGGGAUUCCCCACGCAGGUUCGAGCCCUGCUCGCAGCG